UUCUCUCUCUCUAUAAUUCACUCAGUAACCAUAAUGAGGCCAAGCCAGAUUCACUCGAAAUCAGAAUCAACAGCAGUCAUGUGCGGCAGCACUUAUGCUCGGACUAGCAGAAAAAAAAAGAGGCUGCAGUUUUGCAGAAAGGCGAAGCAGUGUUAGUGAUAGCCAAGUAUGCGACAAUUACACGAAGGAAGAUUACACCAGCAAGGGGACUCAGGCUGUGAAAUUGAACUGUCUCCUACUAUGAGGUCUUGUAUAUACUUAGCGCCGUUACUUCAGUGCUCAAGUCUUCGAGGUCAAACGAAGUUUCUUGAAGUGCAAGAAAUAUAUAUAUAUAUAUGUAUCGUAAGGAACCGCUUUAUUCCAGCCAAGCUCGGACUACUACCUCGAGGAUUAAACUGUGCUGCUAGUGAUGAUAUAUGCAGAUGAAAAAGAUGUGCAGAUGAUGAAGUUGAAAGUCAGGCAUGUGUUGUGCCCAUGCUAAUUCUCUCUCGCUGUGGAAGCGGCCGCCUGGCUGCGCGAAGCCAUCAUCUGGUGCUGUGUACAGCAAGCACAUGCUUUGGGCAAGGAGGGAGCCAGCACCAUAUCUACAUCAGCAAGAACCUCGGUGCUCAAAAUAAACAUUUUCUGUGCAAA
rnacentral:lncRNA from 1 species